rnacentral:lncRNA from 1 species
GUAAGGGCGGGGUCUCCGCUGCUGGAGAGGCGCCGCGUCGCAGCUCCUCCUGCGUCGCCCUGAGUUAAGAAAAAGGGGAGACCGAGGCUGGGGCAACCGAUGGGAUCAGGAAGUGGGGGCGGGGGGGCAGUCAAACGAAGGCUGGGCAUUUCAUAAUGAGAAACUGGAUACGAAGAUGGAGAAACCAAAGACCAAGACAGGCUAAAGUAGAGGACUGGAGCGGGGCGGUCACCUUGUCUGGGAGGUACAGACACUAACACUUUAGUAUGUUUUAAAUAUAUUAUUCUUUCCUUUUGGUGUAUAAGUGUGUGGACACAUACAUGCCGUGGUGGAAGGUCAGAGGACAACUUUUGGGAGUUGAUUUUAUCUUUCCACCGUGUUCUAGGAAUCAAACACAAGUUGCAAAGCUUGUAUGACAAGUGUCUCUACUCCAUGCACCAUCUCACUGUUGUUUUA